AUGAACGCUGGCGGCGUGCCUAACACAUGCAAGUCGAACGGUCCAUUUCGGUGGACAGUGGCGCACGGGUGAGUAACACGUAGCUGACCUGCCCUGAAGUGUGGGAUAACGCUACGAAAGUGGCGCUAUUACCGCAUAAGCUCACGGUGUUUAGAAGGCUGUGAGAAAAGUGUUAGCGCUUCGGGAUGGGGCUGCGGGCUAUCAGCUAGUUGGUGAGGUAACGGCUCACCAAGGCGACGACGGCAAGGGGGCCUGAGAGGGUGACCCCCCACACUGGAACUGAGACACGGUCCAGACUCCUACGGGAGGCAGCAGUGAGGAAUAUUGCACAAUGGGCGCAAGCCUGAUGCAGCGACGCCGCGUGGGUGAUGAAGGCUUUCGGGUCGUAAAGCCCUUUUCUAGGUGACGAGUAAGGACGGUAGCCUAGGAAUAAGUGUCGGCUAACUACGU
rnacentral:rRNA from 1 species